rnacentral:lncRNA from 1 species
AGGCUUACCCUUCGGCUAGUGGGAAGAUUUCAUGCAGCGCACCCUGAACGCAUGAUUGUCACAAGCGUAGUUGGGCGACAUACCUUCACCGAAAGCUUGUUUUAUGUGACCCAGAAUGCUUCCUGCGGCAUUAUAAUGGUCAAGGGACCAAGUAGAGCAGUCUAUUAUGACCUCAGAGUUAGAAAUUCUUCUAUUGAAUGUCCUGAU